GCAUCAGUAAGUAACAACAUAUCCAGUAGAUCCUCUACUGCGCAGAAUAGUGAAAUGGAGAGAUACGGCACAUUUGUUGUAAUCCUACUGAUAACAUUCCCUAACAAUAAUUUUGCUGAAGCUUAUCCGGAAGAUGUAUCAGUAAUGGAGAAGAUGGUCAAGCUAUUGCGCCAGAUGGUAAACCAGCCUUUGACUGAUUGUCAUACUGUGCUAAUGACUGCUAAUUCUCAUUCACCAGUGCUCUCGCUGAUAUUCAAUUCGCUAACUACUGGUGCGGUAGCAGUGAGUAAAUCAAACAUACAAGACUAUAACCUUUCCAAAGUUCUCGUGGGGGACUCUAGUUUUACUUGCCGGACUGUCAUUCUCCAUCUCGACAACAACUUAACCGAUACUAAC